rnacentral:rRNA from 1 species
CACCGCGGUCAUACGAGUGUUAGCCCAAGUAGACAGUUACCGGCGUAAAGUGUGGUUAGGGACCCAAAAAUACUAAAGCAGAACUGCCUCACGGCUGUCAUACGCACCCGACGGUAAGAACCCCCACCACGAAAGUGGCUUUAACCCAACCCGAAUCCACGAAAGCUGGGAAA